GCCCGGGUGGUGAAAUUGGUAGACACAAGGGACUUAAAAUCCCUCGGAGCAAAAAAGCUCCGUGCCGGUUCGACCCCGGCCCCGGGCACCA
rnacentral:tRNA from 1 species